GUGGGAGAAAGGGGGCAGGAACCAAGCCCCGGAAUAAUUUUAUAGUCUCGGACCAGUGUGUCCAAACAAGAACAUUUACAGGAAACACCAAAUGUAAUUAGAGAGAGAGAUUCAGAUUUAAGAUAUUGGUAGUCGAGCCACAACGCCAUGACUGAUAGAAAGGGGAUGCCAUACAUGCUGUAGUCGGAAAUUGUGUUUUAUCUGAAGUGUAGUGAGACAACGGUGCACAUUAUAAAUUGUAAAGGACAAAAUAAUACAGAACUACAGCAGUCUAAUGCCUCUAGAAUUGUAUAUAAAUAAAUAAAAUAAGCGUUGUGAGGGAAGUUGUUUUCAAUUCUCAUUAACUUAAACAAUCUACUGGAAAGAAAACUGAGACAAAAUAUGUACAGGUGCUCCCAGCUGUCGGAGAUUGUGAAUUAAUACAUGCUUACCUCUUUUCUUAGCAUAAUAGUCACUAUAAAUUAAGAACAUAAACAAAAAUAACAGAGUAUUUAACAAAACUGACCAGUUAUUUUAAGAGGUAAAUGUACUCAGUGUAUGUCAUGUAUUGUUAUAUCCGACUACGUGGCCCUCCCCAUCAAAUGAAGAGCCUUAAUUGAGAGGAACAAAGCAGAAAGAGGGUCGAAGCGAAAAAAACUAACAAUUCACAAAGAAGGCAAACACAUCUGCGUCUGAGUCGAAUAUAUAAGGGUGGAAUACGACAAAAGUACGACAAAUACAGGCACAACUACAGGAGAAGGUGAAUUUAAGUAAGAGACUUUUGGACAAGAGUUGCAGGAAAGGUUUCCAAUAGUGGUUAUGGUUGAUUUUCUACAAUUAGAGUUAUGAUCAGAGAUUGUCCUGAUAACAGAUCAUGUUAACUGAAAAAAGGUUCACUCACCUGAAUUUUGUGUUUAUUAGUUAGGGUUAACUUAGUGGGCUAAAGCUUUAUUACGAAGCAGUGUGACUUCCUUGUUUGCUCAUUAUUCACUACUCAUUACCAAAGUGAGAAAAGGCAAAAGAAUCAAUGCGCAACACAACGGCCAAGAUCAUUGUGCAUCACUAAGCCAUGGGAUCAGAGUACAAAAGGCGGUGUGGCGAAUGGAUCACUUGCAGCAGCCACAUUUCAAAGAGCAAGCAGAGGGAUUUUUGAUUGAAUUAUGAUCAGCUGUUGGGAGGUGGGGGUGUGUGCAUCAUGUUCGUCCUUCGGAAAUGGUUACAUGAAAAGGUUAGGGAUCGGUACUGUGUCACAUGACGCGGUCGGCUGAUAAGCAUCAUUAUGGUAGACUGAGCAGGGAAGACAGUGGGGGUAGAAAGGGGGAGGAAGAGUCUACACUGUUGUGACCCUACGCUGCAUAAUGAGUGAGGAAAGACAGGUAGUCCAACUUGAGCCAAGAUGAAUCUGCAGCUCUCCGUAUACUGUUAAGCUACUUCAACUUUUCACAUAAUCAAAAUAUAUCCUGUGGCUAAUGAGAAAUGUGCAUUGCUGAAAUGUAACUGAAGUUGUAUGACUUUUGAGGUUUUAUAGAAAGAAAAUACUGAAUACUUUGUUUUAUUCGCUCUUUAUUGCUUUGCAGUAAGCAUUUUCUGCGCUGUCCUUAUCCCAAGAGGACUCCAUUUACUGUAAACUGAGAUGAUCAGGGUCUUCAAAUUUGUAGGACUACAACAACAACAACUUAUAAAUGUUAAAAUGAUUAUCAGAGUGAAGUUGAUUUAACCAAUGUGCUUCUUCUCAAAGACCGGGCCGUAUGUGUUUGCUGUGUAAAGCUUAGACAGGCAGCAUAAUGGGCAAAGGUAGAACUAUUGUAAUGCUCAUUCCUGAAUAUCACAUGUUUUUCAGCAAUAAGUUGUAACUAUAAAAAAGUUCAGCACACAAUUUAUGACUGCACAUUGUACCACAUGCUCAGUAGAGCGAAGAUUUAAAUCAUUUUAAACUAACGUUUAAAUUGAAGAGGACCAGUUUAAAAGAACGUACACCGUCACAUCUGGAAAGUUAUGUUGCCAACAACCCAACAAAGAUGGCAUCCUACCAUUUAUUACCUCCUCAUCCUCAUUGUUAGGAGUCCUUCACAAUUAUACAAGUCAAAUGAGCUGGGGUCAAUUAUCUGGUCAUGUUAUGCCCUAAUGGUCCUUUGAAAUGAUCACAAUAAUGUCACUUUACCAAAGGGCCCCUAGAUAUUCAAUAUGUGUAUAUAUAAAAGGCUGAGAGCUGAACACAGAUGGCUGUUGGAUCAGAAAGUGCUCCUUAACUCUUCUUGUCACACCCUGACAAGCAAGCCUCACAGGUUAUUAUCCAAAAUCUCUUCUUGACCCAGUUCACUCCUCAUCUGGGACUACUUAUAAUACUGAUAGAAGACAUCCCAUCAGGAACUUGUCAAAUCAAAUCAACUAUCUGAUUCCAUUAGAUUUCAUGCAAAGGUUAAAAGUCUACACUCUUUGAUAGUUGGAGCAUACUAAUCUUCAGUCCUUGGUAUAGAGAGAACCACAAGUUGGUCAAAAGUUGCUAAAGGAAUUAACAAAUAUUAAACACAGCUGGGAAACAAGUGAACAGGUUUGGGUAAUUACCACUUCACACAGAUGGAAGAAGACAUGGAUUUCAAAUGAAAAUGGAAAAGAAAUGUGGAUUUCAAAUGUAAUCAUGAUACCCAUAGUAUAACCACGUGUAAAACAGGUUCUAAAUCACUUAUACAUGUAAUAGAAAUGAUGGAAUGCCAGCAAGCUAUAAUGCUGUGAAAGCCAAAUCCUGUUUACGAAGAAAUAUUUCUAUUGGCCUAGAUGUGGGACAAGGUCAAAACAAAUACACAAAAGUAGG